rnacentral:rRNA from 1 species
GGCUCAUUAAAUCACACCUAAUCUACAGGAUAAUUCAAGUUACUUGGAUAACUGCGGUAAUUCUGGAGCUAAUACAUGCUACAAACUCCGAACUGACGUGAGGAGUGCUUUUAUUAGAUCAAAACCAAACGGCUUCGGCUGUACUCUUGGUGACUCUGAAUAACUUUUGGCAGAUCGUAUAGCCUUGCGCUGGCGACAUAUCCUUCGAAGGUGUGCCCUAUCAACUGUCGACUGUGGCAUAGACGCCCACAGUGGUUUUGACGGGUAACGGGGAAUCAGGGUUCGAUUCCGGAGAGGGAGCCUUAAAAACGGCUACCACAUCUAAGGAAGGCAGCAGGCACGCAAAUUACCCAAUGAACGAAGUUCGAGGUAGUGACGAAAAAUAACGAUUGCGGACUCAUCCGAGGCCCGCAAAUUGGAAUGAGUACACUUUAAAACCGUCCCCGAGGAUCUAUUGGAGGGCAAGUCUGGUGCCAGCAGCCGCGGUAAUUCCAGCUCCAAUAGCGUAUAUUAAAGUUGUUGUGGUUAAAAAGCUCGUAGUUGGAUCUCAACAGCCCUGGGUCGGUCAGUUUGUCUAGMACUGACCUCUGAGUUGUGGUUUUGCCGGAGGUCGAGGGGUGCUCUUAAUCGAGUGUCCCCCGGUGCCGGCAGGUUUACUUUGAAAAAAUUAGAGUGUUCAAAGCAGGCUGUUAUGCCUGAAUAUUCGUGCAUGGAAUAAUAGAAUAGGAUGUCGAUCUUAUUUUGUUGGUUUUCGAGACUCGACAUAAUGAUUAAUAGGGACAGUCGGGGGCAUUUGUAUUGAGACGCUAGAGGUGAAAUUCUUGGACCGUCUCAAGACAAACUACUGCGAAAACGUUUGCCAAGAAUGUUUUCAUUAAUCAAGAACGAAAGUUAGAGGUUCGAAGGCGAUUCGAUACCCCCCUAGUUCUAACCAUAAACGAUGCCAGCUAGCGAUCUGCCGACGUUUUUACUGUAGACUCGGCAGGAAGCUUCCGGGAAACCAAAGCAUUUGGGUUCCAGGGGAAGUAUGGUUGCAAAGCUGAAACUUAAAGGAAUUGACGGAAGGGCACCACCAGGAGUGGAGCCUGUGGCUUAAUUUGACUCAACACGGGAAAUCUCACCAGGCCCGGACACUGGAAGGAUUGACAGAUUGAUAGCUCUUUCUUGAUUCGGUGGGUGGUGGUGCAUGGCCGUUCUUAGUUGGUGGAGUGAUUUGUCUGGUUAAUUCCGAUAACGAACGAGACUCUGUCCUGCUAACUAGUGGUGUUCUCUUUGCUGUCACACCAAUUCUUCUUAGAGGGACUGGCGACUCUUAGUCGCACGAGAUUGAGCAAUAACAGGUCUGUGAUGCCCUUAGAUGUUCUGGGCCGCACACGCGCUACACUGAAUAGAUCAGCGUGUCMCCCUUUCCGAAAGGAACGGGUAAACCGCUGAACCCUAUUCGUGGUAGGGAUCGGGGCUUGCAAUUAUUCCCCGUGAACCAGGAAUUCCCAGUAGGCGCAGGUCAUAAGCCUGCGUCGAUUACGUCCCUGCCCUUUGUACACACCGCCCGUCGCUACUACCGAUUGAACGUUUU